rnacentral:lncRNA from 1 species
GCACAGAUCAGAAUCCAGAUAAGGUCCCAGGUUUCCUGGGAUGGUGACUCCUCUCCCUUCAGGGCCCCUCGAUCUGCAGGCCUCUCCCCUCCUGCACCUGCGCCUGGCGCCAGGCCCUCCAGGGUGGCUGGGAUCUGUGGUUUGUGCACCCCUCGGAUGUGCCGCUGAAGCUGGUCUGUCACCUGCCACCCCAAGAGCCUGAGUGACGUUGCCCCAGGGAUCUGAGUUAGAGUCAUAGUGAGCGUGUGCCUGGGACUCCCAGCUCUGCCAGCCUUUGGGGUGCUUCCCCCUCCUGCAGAGGCUGUGGCUGCAGGUCAAGGCACUGCUCGUCAUCCUCCGAGUCCUCCUGAGCUCCCAGCUGCCAGCUCGGCUCCCACUGGCCCUUCCCUGGGCUCCAGUGCCUCCUGUGAGCCGCCUCCCCGGUGCGUCCCCAGCUCUCCCAGGCUGAGCUGGGUGGACAGGCCUGUGCCCGUGUUGGGUGGUCCUGAGAUCCCGGCAUGAGGUCACGGGAGAAGCUGAGCAUGCGGUCCCUGCCCGAGGUGGACAGAAGGUGAACGCUCUUGAGAAAGAAACCCAGCGGGUCUUAGGAGAGCCCGGCCCCCCUUGUAAUGAGAGAAAUCAAACCACAGCGCACAGCGACUUCAUGUCCACCGUUGGCUUAGUGAGGCCCCACGCUCAGUGCGCUGCUGUGGGGCGAGAGGGGACAGCCCCGCUCUCCCUGUCCUGGGCGGCUUCACCAGCGCCACCUCCCCACACACUCUGUGCACUGCUGUGGGGCAAGAGGCGACAGCCCCGCUCUCCCUGCCCCGGGCAGCUUCACCAGCGUCACCUCCCCAGGGGUGACGCAUGCCCGAGGCCAUGAGCCACGGCAGCAUCUGUGGUGGCAGAGGACUGGAAACUCCAGAGAAAUGACCCCCAGCGGGGCCUAGCUGUGUAGAUGGUGAGGGUGGCCACAUGGCGGCAGCCAGGUACUGAGGACACGGUGCAGCAGGGGCCCCCGGUGGGCCCCGCCAGGAAUCGGACAUCAGCGGGCGCCGCAGCCUCUAAGCGGAGCAUGCAGCCCACUGACAGUGUGCUGGGUGCCUCCCUAGACCUGACACUUGCAUGCGGGGGCGUGCGAUGCUGGCCAGUGGGAAGCUGCG